AUGAGAGUGGUUCACAUCUCAGACACCGUCUCCAACAAGGUUCACAUCUCAGACACCGUCUCCAACUGCAACAAGGUUCACAUCUCAGACACCGUCUCCAACAAGGUUCACAUCUCAGACACCGUCUCCAACUGCAACAAGGUUCACAUGUCAGACACCGUCUCCAACUGCAACAAGGUUCACAUCUCAGACACCGUCUCCAACAAGGUUCACAUCUCAGACACCGUCUCCAACUGCAACAAGGUUCACAUCUCAGACACCGUCUCCAACAAGGUUCACAUCUCAGACACCGUCUCCAACUGCAACAAGGUUCACAUCUCAGACACCGUCUCCAACAAGGUUCACAUCUCAGACACCGUCUCCAGCUGCAACAAGGUUCACAUCUCAGACACCGUCUCCAACAAGGUUCACAUCUCAGACACCGUCUCCAACAAGGUUCACAUCUCAGACACCGUCUCCAACAAGGUUCACAUCUCAGACACCGUCUCCAACAAGGUUCAUAUCUCAGACACCGUCUCCAGCUGCAACAAGGUUCACAUCUCAGACACCGUCUCCAACAAGGUUCACAUCUCAGACACCGUCUCCAGCUGCAACAAGGUUCACAUCUCAGACACCGUCUCCAACAAGGUUCACAUCUCAGACACCGUCUCCAACUGCAACAAGGUUCACAUCUCAGACACCGUCUCCAACAAGGUUCACAUCUCAGACACCGUCUCCAACUGCAACAAGGUUCACAUCUCAGACACCGUCUCCAACUGCAACAAGGUUCACAUCUCAGACACCGUCUCCAACAAGGUUCACAUCUCAGACACCGUCUCCAGCUGCAACACGGUUCACAUCUCAGACACCGUCUCCAACUGCAACAAGGUUCACAUCUCAGACACCGUCUCCAACUGCAACAAGGUUCACAUCUCAGACACCGUCUCCAACUGCAACAAGGUUCACAUCUCAGACACCGUCUCCAGCUGCAACAAGGUUCACAUCUCAGACACCGUCUCCAACAAGGUUCACAUCUCAGACACCGUCUCCAACAAGGUUCACAUAUCAGACACCGUCUCCAACAAGGUUCACAUCUCAGACACCGUCUCCAACUGCAACAAGGUUCACAUCUCAGACACCGUCUCCAACUGCAACAAGGUUCACAUCUCAGACACCGUCUCCAACAAACUUCACAUCUCAGACACAAUCUCCAACUGCAACAAACUUUCAUUCUCUACUUUACACUGCCACCCUGGACGGAGACACUGGAGGAAAGACCUGUUACAGACAGGUUGCUCUUGGAGGAAAGGCCUGUUACAGACAGAUUGCUCUUGGAGGAAAGGCCUGAUACAGACAGGUUGCUCUUGGAGGAAAGGCCUGUUACAGACAGAUUGCUCUUGGAGGAAAGGCCUGUUACAGACAGACUGCUCUUGGAGGAAAGGCCUGUUACAGACAGAUUGCUCUUGGAGGAAAGGCCUGUUACAGACAGAUUGCUCUUGGAGGAAAGGCCUGUUACAGACAGGUUGCUCUUGGAGGAAAGGCCUGAUACAGACAGACUGCUCUUGGAGGAAAGGCCUGUUACAGACAGACUGCUCUUGGAGGAAAGGCCUGUUACAGACAGACUGCUCUUGGAGGAAAGGCCUGUUACAGACAGACUGCUCUUGGAGGAAAGGCCUGUUACAGACAGAUUGCUCUUGGAGGAAAGGCCUGAUACAGACUGCUCUUGGAGGAAAGGCCUGUUACAGACAGACUGCUCUUGGAGGAAAGGCCUGUUACAGACAGGUUGCUCUUGGAGGAAAGGCCUGA
rnacentral:lncRNA from 1 species